AUGAACGCUAGCUACAGGCUUAACACAUGCAAGUCGAGGGGCAGCAUGGCUUAGCUUGCUAAGGCCGAUGGCGACCGGCGCACGGGUGAGUAACACGUAUCCAACCUGCCGUCUACUCUUGGACAGCAUUCUGAAAAGGAAGAUUAAUACAAGAUGGCAUCAUGAGUCCGCAUGUUCACAUGAUUAAAGGUAUUCCGGGUAGACGAUGGGGAUGCGUUCCAUUAGAUAGUAGGCGGGGUAACGGCCCACCUAGUCUUCGAUGGAUAGGGGUUCUGAGAGGAAGGUCCCCCACAUUGGAACUGAGACACGGUCCAAACUCCUACGGGAGGCAGCAGUGGGGAAUAUUGGGCAAUGGGCGCAAGCCUGACCCAGCAACGCCGCGUGAAGGAAGAAGGCUUUCGGGUUGUAAACUGCUUUUGUCAGGGACGAAAAGGAUCGUGAUAAUACCAUGGUCUGCUGACGGUACCUGAAGAAUAAGCACCGGCUAACUACGUG
rnacentral:rRNA from 1 species